UACGUAGGGUGCGAGCGUUAUUCGGAAUUAUUGGGCGUAAAGCGCGCGCAGGCGGUCCUUUAAGUCUGAUGUGAAAGCCCACGGCUCAACCGUGGAGGGUCAUUGGAAACUGGGGGGCUUGAGUACAGAAGAGAAGAGUGGAAUUCCACGUGUAGCGGUGAAAUGCGUAGAGAUGUGGAGGAACACCAGUGGCGAAGGCGACUCUUUGGUCUGUAACUGACGCUGAGGCGCGAAAGCGUGGGGAGCAAACAGG
rnacentral:rRNA from 1 species